UCGACCUGAGCUCAGGCAAGAUUACCCGCUGAACUUAAGCAUAUCAAUAA
rnacentral:rRNA from 1 species